UGCUCACCUGGCAAUGAGCAAAGAGACACCUUGUUGGUGGUGCUGUUCUCCUAUCAGACAGGGGCAGAGAAAAUGGCAGUUCUUUGUUCAUCCGAGUUUGAUGCCUGGCAUGGUGGCCAAAACUGUCUUAUGCCUAGAACUCAUAA